ensembl:lncRNA
CCCUGUCUCCAGCCCUACUGUGGACUGUACUGUGGAGUGGAUUAGGUUAGAGUGUCCUGUCUCCAGCCCUACUGUGGACUGUACUGUGGACUGUACUGUGGACUGUACUGUGGAGUGGAUUAGGUUAGGGUGCCCUGUCUCCAGCCCUACUAUGGACUGUACUGUGGAGUGGAUUAGGUUAGAGUGCCCUGUCUCCAGCCCUACUGUGGACUGUACUGUGGACUGUACUGUGGACUGUACUGUGGAGGGGAUUAGGUUAGAGUGCCCUGUCUCCAACCCUACUGUGGACUGUACUGUGGAGUGGAUUAGGUUAGAGUGC